GAUAAAACGUAAAAUAAAACUGAUUUGUAAUCAGUGGGUUGCAGGUUCAACUCCUGUCACCAGCUCCA
rnacentral:tRNA from 2 species